GGGCCGACUUUAGCUCAGCGGUUACUUUGACAAUGCUUUCCUUGGUGGAAAACAACCACUCUGUGUGGUUCGAGACCUGCAGGCGCUCUCCGGCCUUUUA
rnacentral:vault_RNA from 1 species